AGGGGCGUCGCCAAGCGGUAAGGCACCAGGUUUUGAUCCUGGCAUGCGGUGGUUCGAAUCCAGCGGCCCCUGCCA
rnacentral:tRNA from 1 species